rnacentral:rRNA from 1 species
UGAGCAAUCUGCCCUUCUCAUCGGAAUAAAGCGUUGGAAACGACGUCUAAUGCCGAAUACGACCUCCUUUCGCAUGAUCGGAGGUGGAGAGCUCCGGCGGAGAAGGAUGAGCUCGCGGCCUAUCAGCUAGUUGGUGUGGUAUGGCCCACCAAGGCGACGACGGGCAGCCGGCCGAGAGGGUAACCGGCCACACUGGGACUGAGACACGGCCCAGACUCCGUACGGGAGCA